GCGAAAGUGGCGGAACUGGCAGACGCGCAGGAUUCAGGAUCCUGUGGAGUAACAUCCGUGGGGGUUAAAGUCCCCCCUUUCGCA
rnacentral:tRNA from 1 species